rnacentral:rRNA from 1 species
GUCUUGGCCAUGCUACCCUGAACAAGCCCGAUCCCAUCUGAUCUUGGAAGCUAAGCAGGAUCAGGCCUGGUUAAUACUUGGAUGGGAGACCACCUAGGAAGACCAGGUGCUGUAGGCG